AUUAGGUUUGGGGAUAUGAUUACUAUUUGCAGUGAUUUUCACUCGUAUUACUUAAGCACAUACCUAUUAUAAAUUUAUACCAACAAGGAAAGUGGUGAUCGAUCGGACNNNNNNNNAGGAGAUGGAAUACUACUACGUGCUUGGGGUCAGCCCCACCGCCACUGAGGCGGAGAUCAAGAAAGCUUAUUACAUCAAGGCGCGACAGGUUCAUCCAGAUAAAAAUCCCAAUGAUCCUCUUGCUGCACAAAA
rnacentral:misc_RNA from 1 species